rnacentral:rRNA from 1 species
CGGCGUGCCUAACACAUGCAAGUCGAACGAUUUAGCAUUUGAGCUUGCUUGAAUGCUGGAUAGUGGCGGACGGGUGAGUAACGCGUGAGCAACCUGCCUUUUUGAGGGGGAUAACACCGGGAAACCGGAGCUAAUACCGCAUAAAAUAUUGAAAUCGCAUGGUAUCGAUAUCAAAGGAGCAAUCCGCAGAAAGAUGGACUCGCGUCCGAUUAGCUAGUUGGAGGGGUAACGGCCCACCAAGGCGACGAUCGGUAGCCGGACUGAGAGGUUGAACGGCCACAUUGGGACUGAGACACGGCCCAGACUCCUACGGGAGGCAGCAGUGGGGGAUAUUGCACAAUGGGGGAAACCCUGAUGCAGCAACGCCGCGUGAGGGAAGAAGGUUUUCGGAUUGUAAACCUCUGUCCUAGGUGAAGAUAAUGACGGUAACCUGGGAGGAAGCUCCGGCUAACUACGUGCCAGCAGCCGCGGUAAUACGUAGGGAGCGAGCGUUGUCCGGAAUUACUGGGUGUAAAGGGUGCGUAGGCGGCCUUGUGGGUCAGGCGUGAAAUACAUGGGCUUAACCCAUGGACUGCGCUUGAAACUAUAAGGCUUGAGUGAAGUAGAGGCAGGUGGAAUUCCCGGUGUAGCGGUGAAAUGCGUAGAGAUCGGGAGGAACACCAGUGGCGAAGGCGGCCUGCUGGGCUUUUACCUGACGCUGAGGCACCAAAAGCAUGGGUAGCAAACAGGAUUAGAUACCC